AUGAAAGAUGUAAAGUCAAACAGUAGAAAUGCUGCUUCUUACAUGUUGCUUCUUGGGGAUGGGUGGGUGUCUGGAUCACAUGCACUGGAGUGGAUGCAAUGCCAUUUGGAUUCAAGACACUUUUCUUUUUCCCAGAAAAUAUCCACACAGCAAGGAAUUUGUCCUGAUGCCAAGGAGCUGCAAACUGCUUUCAAAAUCGACAUCAGAAGACCCCUGAAUUCCUUGUGUAGUACCCUGGGAGUGGAAGGACACGUUUCUAUGGCAACAUCAGCUUUGUCAAUCAAGCCAAAGAGGCAGGAUCUGGAGGGUGGGUCUUUCCUAUUCUCCUGGCUGGAAUUCUCACCUAGACAUUUUCUAACCAAGCAGAGAGGCAAGCAGGUGUAGGAAGUCCCACAUCUGAUGAAGCAACAGAGCGGUGUGGAAUUUGGGUCUGUCAAAAUACCAGGGCACAGCUUAUCUUCCUCAGCUCUGGGAUGCCUCUUAGAGAAACAGGUUCAUUGGGAUUUAAUUCACAUUCCAGAUAAUGCACCUGUGUAAAGUGUACAAUUGUGUGAACUUUAGUACGUUAAUGGAGUUAUGCAGCCAUCAAAGCAGCCUAAUUUUAGAACGUUUUGAUCACCCCAAAAGAAGCCCCGUGACCUCCUUUGCCCCUGCCCACUGACUUUCUAGCCCCAGGCAACCACUAAUCCACUUCCUAUCUCUCUGGAGUUCUGGAAAAUUCAUAUAAAUGGAACCAUACACUGUGUGGCCUUUUGUGACUGGCAUCUUUGACUGAGCCUAAUGUUUUCAAGGCAUAUCCCUGUCCUAGCAUGACACAGCAAUUUAUUCCUUUUUAUAGCCAAGAAUAUUCUAUUGGAUGGCUGGCCCACAGUAUUUACCUAUUCAUCAACUGAUAGACAUUUGGGUUUGUUUCCACUUUUGCACUAUUGUGAAUCAUGCUGCCGUGAACAUUCAUGUACAAGUUUCUGUGUGGAUGUAUGUUUUUAAUUCUGAAUAUGUCCCUAGGAGUGCAGUGGAUGCAUUGCACGGUAAUUCCUGGAUGCUGGUGGUUUAGUCUCUCAGUCCUGUCCAACUCUUUGCGACCCCAUAGACUGUAGCUUGCCAGGCGCUUUUCUCUACUGGAGUGGGUUGCCAUUUCCUUCUCCAGGGAAUCUUCCUGACCCAGGGAUUGAACUGGGUCUCCUGCAUUGCAAGCCCAUUCUUUAACUCCUGGGUACAUCGCAUGGUAACUCUAUGUUUUGUUUUGUUUUUAGCCUUUUGAAGAACUGCCAGACUGCUUUCCAAAGCUGCUGCACCUGCCUGUUAGAAAUUUACAUUAUACAUUUAUUUGUUUAUUUAAUAUAUAUGCAUUGACAGCACCUGUGGGCACUGUUCUGGGUGCUGGCAAUAUAGCAAUGAGCAAACAGGCAGCUUAUAGGGAGGAAAUGAACAUAUGGAGCAAAGAUAAGAUGGGGUGUUUGGGGUGGGGUACAAGCCUGGGAAUGUCUCACUGGAAAGGGGGACAUUUAACCUGGAGAAAGGGCAUUAAGAGCAAGUGCAAAGGCCCAGAGGUGGGAAUAAAUGAAAUGGACGUAUCUAAGGAACGUUGAGG
ensembl:lncRNA